rnacentral:tRNA from 1 species
GUGGGUAUAGUUUAAUAAAAAUAACAGAUUGUGAUUCUAGAAAUAGAGGUUAGACCCCUCUUACCCGCC